rnacentral:tRNA from 1 species
GGUUCCGUAGUGUAGUGGUUAUCACGUUCGCUUUACACGCGAAAGGUCUCCGGUUCGAACCCGGACGGAACCA